GACGAACGCUGGCGGCGUGCUUAACACAUGCAAGUCGAACGGAAAGGCCCUGCUUUUGUGGGGUGCUCGAGUGGCGAACGGGUGAGUAACACGUGAGUAACCUGCCCUUGACUUUGGGAUAACUUCAGGAAACUGGGGCUAAUACCGGAUAGGAGCUCCUGCUGCAUGGUGGGGGUUGGAAAGUUUCGGCGGUUGGGGAUGGACUCGCGGCUUAUCAGCUUGUUGGUGGGGUAGUGGCUUACCAAGGCUUUGACGGGUAGCCGGCCUGAGAGGGUGACCGGCCACAUUGGGACUGAGAUACGGCCCAGACUCCUACGGGAGGCAGCAGUGGGGAAUAUUGCACAAUGGGCGGAAGCCUGAUGCAGCAACGCCGCGUGCUGGAUGACGGCCUUCGGGUUGUAAACCGCUUUCGCCUGUGACGAAGCGUGAGUGACGGUAAUGGGUAGAGAAGCACCGGCUAACUACGUG
rnacentral:rRNA from 1 species